rnacentral:rRNA from 1 species
UACGGGGGGAGCAAGCGUUGUUCGGAUUUACUGGGCGUAAAGGGCGCGUAGGCGGUCGUGACAAGUCACUUGAGAAAUCUCCGGGCUUAACUCGGAACGGUCAAGUGAUACUGUCGGACUAGAGUACAGAAGGGGCAACUGGAAUUCUCGGUGUAGCGGUGAAAUGCGUAGAUAUCGAGAGGAACACCUGCGGCGAAGGCGGGUUGCUGGGCUGAUACUGACGCUGAGACGCGAAAGCGUGGGGAGCAAACAGG